AUUGAACGCUGGCGGCAGGCCUAACACAUGCAAGUCGAACGGUAACAGGAAGAAGCUUGCUUCUUUGCUGACGAGUGGCGGACGGGUGAGUAAUGUCUGGGAAACUGCCUGAUGGAGGGGGAUAACUACUGGAAACGGUAGCUAAUACCGCAUAACGUCGCAAGACCAAAGAGGGGGACCUUCGGGCCUCUUGCCAUCGGAUGUGCCCAGAUGGGAUUAGCUUGUUGGUGGGGUAACGGCUCACCAAGGCGACGAUCCCUAGCUGGUCUGAGAGGAUGACCAGCCACACUGGAACUGAGACACGGUCCAGACUCCUACGGGAAGCAGCAGUGGGGAAUAUUGCACAAUGGGCGCAAGCCUGAUGCAGCCAUGCCGCGUGUAUGAAGAAGGCCUUCGGGUUGUAAAGUACUUUCAGCGGGGAGGAAGGGAGUAAAGUUAAUACCUUUGCUCAUUGACGUUACCCGCAGAAGAAGCACCGGCUAACUCCGUG
rnacentral:rRNA from 1 species